GUUACUGUUAAAGAUUAAAAAUAAAUAAAAUAAAAGAUUGAUAAAGCCUCCUUUUUAAAUCACUCAAACAUAUUAAAGAGCUUGGUCCACAUCUGUAAUUAGCCUGCAACUUCAACUCUAUUUGAGUGUUGUAACCUAACACAAUGAGGCUACAAAAGCAUCUUAUUUUGUUAAAGGAUGCAGGCCUAUAAAUUCCACUCUAUUUCAUGUCCAAUAUGUCCAUUUAUUUUCAGAGAAAUUGCUUGUCUCUCUCUCUUCACACACACUCUCACACACACACACACACACACACACACACACACACACACACACACACACACACACACACACACACACACUCACACACACACACACACACACACACACGCACACACACACACAAGUAUACCCUUCAGACACAUUAGACAGAGGGAGGGUGGGGCGCCAGUAAAGAUUUCUUAAUGGGCUCUGACGUCCUCUCGUCCAUCUGCCUUGAUGAUAAACACAGCUGGUCUACUUUAGCCUGAUGCGCAUCAAAGCCUUCGCCGUUUUAUUUUUCUUUAUUCACCAACAAACCAUUCAUUUCAACACUUUUCCCCGCGGGAGCAUGAGAUCUGCAGAGUGAGGACUAACACAUGGACUUUAUGGUCAGCAGGGGUUUUUUUGUAUUGGAGAUGGAAAUCAUGGGAACAAAUAAGUAAGAUUCAAUGAGCAUUUCCUUUUGAUAAUAGGACUUCUGUAACUGUGGAGUAAAUAAUUUAGAUGUCUGGUCAGUGUCAGAGCGCAUGGGGAGCGCACUCUGUGGGACUGUUUGUACGUGAGUGACACUCUCCAGCCGGUCACAGCCCUAAUAGUAACCUCAGAAACAGUCACAGUCCUGGAGGAGGAUGCCUUCCCUGCACCACGGAGCAAUCUUUGUUGGAGCCUUCCUCAUUGUGACCGGGGGCUCCACAGCCUUCCUGGCCUCGUACCAGAGCCGUCUGCAGGCGUUCUCCCUCUGCUGUGUGGUACUGGGGGUGUUCAUGCUCAUCCUGGGGCUAUUCUGGGCUAUGAACAGCAAAAGUGCCGCAAACUACAACCACCGAGAGUUCGACCCAGAGUGUCCUCAUUAUCCAUACAACGACUACCCCAACAUCGGCGGCCAUGCCCUCUUCACACCCACGGGGAGCCGCUUCCCGGAAUCCCAGUCGGUGUUUCUGCCCAGGACAAUGGAACGCCACAGAAACGCUGCUCGUGGUGAGGAUUUCGACUACCCUCCCAUGGACCCUGUUGGUUUCAGCCCAUCGCCUCACCCUCCUCCGUGGCAGGAACCCCCGCCUCCCUAUGAGGUUGCCAUCAAGACCACGUGCAGCUCUACACACCUGCGGCGUGCAUACUCAGACACACACUUGGCAACAGAGCCCCUGUUUGGACAGUCGAGAGAGAUUAGCUUUGAGGUGUGACGCUGAACAAUACGAACACUGAAGAUAAAUUGUCAUGAGACUGGGGCUUUUGCUCAGACUCUGCACUAGUAUACUUGAAGCAUGCUUCUUCCUGAUGUUGACCAAUGGGUCCUAGCAUGCUUUCCCUAAGUUAUCUUUAAUUACAAUGCAGGUGUAAACGCAUAUCUAAAUAUAUGAUGAAAUGAAAGGUAGAUCACACCAAAUUCAGCCUUAGCAGACCACAAUAAAGCAACAAAAUAGAAGUGUACAAAUGACAAGUUGUGGUUUUACCGGGUGUUACGUGCCAGCCUUUAUGCUAAACUAAGAUAGCCCAGACCAGACACCUCAGGCACAUCUAUUAAACAACGAUUCAUUAACAAACAGCGGCAAUGUACACUGACUGAGAGCAGCAGAUAUUAUACACAAAAGAACAAAAAUAAUGUCGGAUCAGCAGUGUAAACCAUGCUGGUGUUCUUCUUUUAUAAUCUUACCGGUGUCUAUAACUUUUAAUCACUUAUGAGAUUAAAUUACAUCUUUGAAAUAAUAUGAACAUCUUAUUUGCAUGGCAAGAUAAUUUGCUUUUCUAGAAAGUAUGAUAUAUUUCUUUACAGGCAGUCAUUCAGUUGGCUUAUGUUACUUGGUAGGUGACAUAAUCGCUUCCAUAGGGUGGAAACUACAGGCCUGGUCUCAAAUGAUCUUUAUUAACUGUAGGGGAUAAUAAAUGCUUAUUUUCUAGUGCAGCUACUAAAGUGCUUUGAAAAGGCUUUAAAGGGACGGUUCACCCCAAAAUGGAAAACACAUAUUUUCCUCUUACCUGUAGUGUUACUAAUCAAUCUAGAUAGUCACCACUCGGCUUGAACAAUAUGUAAUUUAGCUUUUUGGGUGAACUGUCACUUGAAACUGACUACUGAUACAAACCUGAGCAUUAUAUUAAGUUGUUGGUCCUAACCUUAAUGACGGCAGACUGUCACAUGGAGCAGGUUAGUUAAGGGCCUCAGUUAACAUGGUAACAGAAGCACACAGGAAAUCCAGGAUUUCCAUUCAUUCCAGUUUAACUCUAGAUACC
ensembl:lncRNA